rnacentral:rRNA from 1 species
GACGAACGCUGGCGGCGUGCUUAACACAUGCAAGUCGAACGGAAAUGCCCUGCUUUUGUGGGGUGCUCGAGUGGCGAACGGGUGAGUAACACGUGAGUAACCUGCCCUUGACUUUGGGAUAACUUCAGGAAACUGGGGCUAAUACCGGAUAGGAGCUCCUGCUGCAUGGUGGGGGUUGGAAAGUUUCGGCGGUUGGGGAUGGACUCGCGGCUUAUCAGCUUGUUGGUGGGGUAGUGGCUUACCAAGGCUUUGACGGGUAGCCGGCCUGAGAGGGUGACCGGCCACAUUGGGACUGAGAUACGGCCCAGACUCCUACGGGAGGCAGCAGUGGGGAAUAUUGCACAAUGGGCGGAAGCCUGAUGCAGCAACGCCGCGUGCGGGAUGACGGCCUUCGGGUUGUAAACCGCUUUCGGCUGUGACGAAGCGUGAGUGACGGUAAUUGGUGAAGAAGCACCGGCUAACUACGUG